UACGUAGGGUGCGAGCGUUAAUCGGAAUUACUGGGCGUAAAGCGUGCGCAGGCGGUUUUGUAAGACAGAUGUGAAAUCCCCGGGCUUAACCUGGGAACUGCAUUUGUGACUGCAAGACUAGAGUGCGGCAGAGGGGGGUAGAAUUCCGCAUGUAGCGGUGAAAUGCGUAGAUAUGCGGAGGAACAUCAGUGGCGAAGGCGGCUACCUGGACCAAGACUGACACUGAGGCACGAAAGCGUGGGGAUCAAACAGG
rnacentral:rRNA from 1 species